rnacentral:rRNA from 1 species
AUGACAUGCGUCGCUGCCCUUGUUUUGAAGGCCGUUCCCCAGCAUGUGAAUGAACAUUAUGAGUGGAGACUUACGUCAGGAAAACUGCCUAUCUUCAAGGAGCUGGAAAAUGAAGCCCUCACUCCCACAUUCGAGGACCAGAGCAUGACCGAUGGCCGUACUCAUUCUCCACAUGAAAAUUCAGUCCGUACCACAAAUGAUGCGAAGGAAGCGACAAGUAAAGCUCCUCCUGACACGAGGGACUCGUCCAGGAUUUCCCUGCCUCUCGGCGGGGCGACCGUCGAUCUGCCUGGACCCUCGUUGUCUUAG